UACGUAGGGGGCGAGCGUUGUCCGGAUUUAUUGGGCGUAAAGAGCUCGUAGGCGGUUUGGCAAGUCGGGUGUGAAAACUCCGGCUCAACUCGGAGACGCCACUCGAUACUGCCAUGACUUGAGUCCGGUAGGGGAGUGCGGAAUUCCUGGUGUAGCGGUGAAAUGCGCAGAUAUCAGGAGGAACACCGGUGGCGAAGGCGGCACUCUGGGCCGGUACUGACGCUGAGGAGCGAAAGCGUGGGGAGCGAACAGG
rnacentral:rRNA from 1 species